rnacentral:rRNA from 1 species
UACGUAGGGGGCGAGCGUUGUCCGGAUUUAUUGGGCGUAAAGGGCGCGUAGGCGGCCCGUUAAGUGGCUGGUGAAAUCCCGCGGCUCAACUGCGGGGCUGCCGGUCAGACUGGCGAGCUAGAGCACGGUAGGGGCAGAUGGAAUUCCCGGUGUAGCGGUGGAAUGCGUAGAGAUCGGGAAGAAUACCAGUGGCGAAGGCGUUCUGCUGGGCCGUUGCUGACGCUGAGGCGCGACAGCGUGGGGAGCAAACAGG